rnacentral:rRNA from 2 species
AUGAGAAGCUUGCUUCUCUGAUGUUAGCGGCGGACGGGUGAGUAACACGUGGGUAACCUACCUAUAAGACUGGGAUAACUCCGGGAAACCGGGGCUAAUACCGGAUAAUAUAUUGAACCGCAUGGUUCAAUGUUGAAAGACGGUUUCGGCUGUCACUUAUAGAUGGACCCGCGCCGUAUUAGCUAGUUGGUAAGGUAACGGCUUACCAAGGCAACGAUACGUAGCCGACCUGAGAGGGUGAUCGGCCACACUGGAACUGAGACACGGUCCAGACUCCUACGGGAGGCAGCAGUAGGGAAUCUUCCGCAAUGGGCGAAAGCCUGACGGAGCAUCGCCGCGUGAGUGAUGAAGGUCUUAGGAUCGUAAAACUCUGUUGUUAGGGAAGAACAAAUUUGUUAGUAACUGAACAAGUCUUGACGGUACCUAACCAGAAAGCCACGGCUAACUACGUGCCAGCAGCCGCGGUAAUACGUAGGUGGCAAGCGUUAUCCGGAAUUAUUGGGCGUAAAGCGCGCGUAGGCGGUUUCUUAAGUCUGAUGUGAAAGCCCACGGCUCAACCGUGGAGGGUCAUUGGAAACUGGGGAACUUGAGUGCAGAAGAGGAGAGUGGAAUUCCAUGUGUAGCGGUGAAAUGCGCAGAGAUAUGGAGGAACACCAGUGGCGAAGGCGGCUCUCUGGUCUGUAACUGACGCUGAUGUGCGAAAGCGUGGGGAUCAAACAGGAUUAGAUACCCUGGUAGUCCACGCCGUAAACGAUGAGUGCUAAGUGUUAGGGGGUUUCCGCCCCUUAGUGCUGCAGCUAACGCAUUAAGCACUCCGCCUGGGGAGUACGACCGCAAGGUUGAAACUCAAAGGAAUUGACGGGGACCCGCACAAGCGGUGGAGCAUGUGGUUU